rnacentral:misc_RNA from 1 species
AUGGGGAUAGUCUGUUUCCAAGUAGCAAAAGAUUGCAAUGACAUUCUCAACUCAUGGUCAAUGAACCUGGAGAAGCUGCUUGAUCUUGUUGAGAAGAGUUGCCAUCAAAUACACAAAGAAACCAUGGUACACAAAACUGCUCUCAAAGUUUGAAAGGGUGAUCUAGCAAUUGCACACUGGUGGACUCAAUUGGAGCUUCAUUUUGUGGGCUGCAGCGGAAAAAAAAAAUCCAUUAAAAUCUAUGCUGGCAAGGUUGAUGAGGCAUGCAUUUGCCCGGAAGUUAAUUUCUAUUGUUGACAAAGAUAAUAGUGAACUCGGAUAUGCUUUGUAGGACUAAGAUUGUUGAAUACUUCUGGCACAUACAGAAUCACAGACUAAUGGCAGGAUCGUAAUGGCUUUGUUUUAUAGCAGUGGAAAGAAAUUCU